CUGGGAUCCAAUUCUCAGCCACGCAUAUUCUAACAACAAUUCAUGGGUUUUUCUACAAUGAAAAAAAAGGCGAAAAAGAAAUUGAGAGAACAAUGUAAAAACAAGGAAAAGAUGAAGAGUGUGCCCACAAACACACUUUGCAGUAGAAAAUAUUGCUUCAAAUACAGCAGAUGCCAAAAUCAUGAACUUGACCUCCAAAACUCAAGAGAAUAAGAAUUGCAUUUAUCUUGUCCUUCCCAAUAAUAAGAAGCAUAUUGCUAUUCAAGAAUCCUCGGUCAGAACUCUUGAUUCUUACACAACUUCAGUGUCUAUCAGAACGAAGAAUUCAUUUUUACAACCUGAAAAUGAGACCCUCCUUACAUCUUUUACAAAAUAGUAUCCUUCCCUUCUCUAAAUACUCAAAAGAAUUCAUAUUCAUUACAAGUUCUAAUCUGGACAAGUGAUUACAGAUAUUACAAUAUAUAAUUGAAAAAAUCUAACCUCAACGCAGGGCAUCCCCACAUCCCAAUCGUGGCCCUCAGAGGAAGAAGUUUUCCUUAUAAUAAUUCCAUUUUAGCCUCAACUACAAUGAAUGUAAUUUUCAACAAUUAAAGCAUCAAUCCCGCAGCCCAAGUU
rnacentral:misc_RNA from 1 species